UUAUAAAAAUUUCAUCCAUUUAUAUAAUUAAAAAAUAGCGUGAUUGAUAAAAAAACCAGACAAUAACACGUGGUAUGCUACAUCCAUCUCAUACUAAUGUAUAAGAAAUGUUUUCAACAGUAAAAAUAGACGAAAUUUGUAACA
rnacentral:pre_miRNA from 1 species